rnacentral:rRNA from 2 species
UUUAUUGGAGAGUUUGAUCCUGGCUCAGGAUGAACGCUGGCGGCGUGCCUAAUACAUGCAAGUCGAGCGAAUGGAUUAAGAGCUUGCUCUUAUGAAGUUAGCGGCGGACGGGUGAGUAACACGUGGGUAACCUGCCCAUAAGACUGGGAU